GAAUGGAUUAAGAGCUUGCUCUUAUGAAGUUAGCGGCGGACGGGUGAGUAACACGUGGGUAACCUGCCCAUAAGACUGGGAUAACUCCGGGAAACCGGGGCUAAUACCGGAUAACAUUUUGAACCGCAUGGUUCGAAAUUGAAAGGCGGCUUCGGCUGUCACUUAUGGAUGGACCCGCGUCGCAUUAGCUAGUUGGUGAGGUAACGGCUCACCAAGGCAACGAUGCGUAGCCGACCUGAGAGGGUGAUCGGCCACACUGGGACUGAGACACGGCCCAGACUCCUACGGGAGGCAGCAGUAGGGAAUCUUCCGCAAUGGACGAAAGUCUGACGGAGCAACGCCGCGUGAGUGAUGAAGGCUUUCGGGUCGUAAAACUCUGUUGUUAGGGAAGAACAAGUGCUAGUUGAAUAAGCUGGCACCUUGACGGUACCUAACCAGAAAGCCACGGCUAACUACGUGCCAGCAGCCGCGGUAAUACGUAGGUGGCAAGCGUUAUCCGGAAUUAUUGGGCGUAAAGCGCGCGCAGGUGGUUUCUUAAGUCUGAUGUGAAAGCCCACGGCUCAACCGUG
rnacentral:rRNA from 2 species